GUGGGGAAUAUUGGACAAUGGGCGAAAGCCUGAUCCAGCCAUGCCGCGUGUGUGAAGAAGGUCUUCGGAUUGUAAAGCACUUUAAGUUGGGAGGAAGGGCAGUAAGUUAAUACCUUGCUGUUUUGACGUUACCGACAGAAUAAGCACCGGCUAACUUCGUGCCAGCAGCCGCGGUAAUACGAAGGGUGCAAGCGUUAAUCGGAAUUACUGGGCGUAAAGCGCGCGUAGGUGGUUUUGUAAGUUGGAGGUGAAAUCCCCGGGCUCAACCUGGGAACUGCAUCCAAAACUGCUGAGCUAGAGUACGGUAGAGGGUGGUGGAAUUUCCUGUGUAGCGGUGAAAUGCGUAGAUAUAGGAAGGAACACCAGUGGCGAAGGCGACCACCUGGACUGAUACUGACACUGAGGUGCGAAAGCGUGGGGAGCAAACAGGAUUAGAAACCCCUGUAGUCC
rnacentral:rRNA from 1 species